UACAUCCGGAUUAAUACCGCAUACGCCCUACGGGGGAAAGCUGGGGAUCUUCGGACCUGGCACUAGUAGAAGAGCCCGCGUUGGAUUAGCUUGUUGGUGGGGUAAUGGCCUACCAAGGCAACGAUCCAUAGCUGUUCUGAGAGGAAGAUCAGCCACACUGGGACUGAGACACGGCCCAGACUCCUNCGGGAGGCAGCAGUGGGGAAUAUUGCACAAUGGGCGCAAGCCUGAUGCAGCAAUACCGCGUGUGUGAAGAAGGCCUGAGGGUUGUAAAGCACUUUCAAUCGUGAAGAAAAGCUUAAGGUUAAUACCUUUAAGUCUUGACGUUAUCGAUACAAGAAGCACCGGCUAACUCCGUGCCAGCAGCCGCGGUAAUACGGAGGGUGCAAGCGUUAAUCGGAAUUACUGGGCGUAAAGCGUGCGUAGGCGGUUUACUAAGUCAGAUGUGAAAGCCCCGGGGCUUAACCUGGGAACUGCAUUUGAUACUGGUAGGCUAGAGUAUGAUA
rnacentral:rRNA from 1 species